rnacentral:lncRNA from 1 species
CCUCUUCAUUUCGUUAGUGGAAUGAAGAGGAUUUAAAUUCGGCUUUUCCCCCGUGCACAAAACUGACAAUCAUUGUCAAUUUGACUUCCAUAAAUAGUUGAGGGAGAAAAUAAAUAAAAAAUCUCAAUAGUACAGGGGAUGAAAUGAAAUUAACCCACCCCUGUUGUAUACAGUAUUUUUGUUUCCGCCUCCAGACUUCUUGGUUUCCAUUCCUUGA